rnacentral:rRNA from 1 species
GGGAGAGACCAACAGGGAUUGCCCUAGUAACGGCGAGUGAAGCGGCAACAGCUCAAAUUUGAAAUCUGGCCCCCCCACGGGGGUCCGAGUUGUAAUUUGCAGAGGGUGCUUUGGCGUUGGCUGUGGUCUAAGUUCCUUGGAACAGGACGUCGCAGAGGGUGAGAAUCCCGUAUGUGGCCGCCAGUCUUCGCCGUGUAAAGCCCCUUCGACGAGUCGAGUUGUUUGGGAAUGCAGCUCUAAAUGGGAGGUAAAUUUCUUCUAAAGCUAAAUAUCUGCCAGAGACCGAUAGCGCACAAGUAGAGUGAUCGAAAGAUGAAAAGCACUUUGGAAAGAGAGUCAAAAAGCACGUGAAAUUGUUGAAAGGGAAGCGCUUGCAGUUAGACGUGCCUCUAGUUGCUCAGCCGGGCCUUCGGGCCCGGUGCACUCUUCUAUUGGCAGGCCAGCAUCAGUCUGGGCGGUCGGAUAAAGGCCCAUUAAACGUGACUCCCUCCGGGGAGAGCUUAUAGGGUGGGCGACAUGCGACCAGCCCGGACUGAGGUCCGCGCAUCUGCUAGGAUGCUGGCUUAAUAACUGUAAGCGGCCCGUCUUGAAACACGGACCAAGGAGUCUAACAUCUAUGCGAGUGUUUGGGGGUGGAAA